rnacentral:rRNA from 1 species
UACAGAGGGUGCGAGCGUUGUCCGGAAUCACUGGGCGUAAAGGGCGCGUAGGUGGCGCUGCAAGUCGGUGGUGAAAGCUCGUCGCUCAACGACGAGUCGGCCAUCGAAACUGCAGGGCUCGAGCACUGUAGGGGCAGCAUGGAAUUCCGGGUGUAGCGGUGGAAUGCGUAGAGAGUCCGGAAGAACACCGAGUGGCGAAGCCG